rnacentral:rRNA from 1 species
GACGAACCGUGCGAACGUUGUUCGGAAUCACUGGGCUUAAAGGGCGCGUAGGCGGGCGACAAAGUCCGGGGUGAAAUCCUUCGGCUUAACCGAAGAAUUGCCUUGGAUACUGGUCGUCUUGAGGGAGGUAGGGGCAUGUGGAACUUCCGGUGGAGCGGUGAAAUGCGUUGAUAUCGGAAGGAACGCCGGUGGCGAAAGCGACGUGCUGGAUCUCUUCUGACGCUGAGGCGCGAAAGCUAGGGGAGCAAAC